UGACGAGUGGCGGACGGGUGAGUAAUGCUUGGGAACUUGCCUUUGCGAGGGGGAUAACAGUUGGAAACGACUGCUAAUACCGCAUAAUGUCUUCGGACCAAACGGGGCUUCGGCUCCGGCGCAAAGAGAGGCCCAAGUGAGAUUAGCUAGUUGGUAAGGUAACGGCUUACCAAGGCGACGAUCUCUAGCUGUUCUGAGAGGAAGAUCAGCCACACUGGGACUGAGACACGGCCCAGACUCCUACGGGAGGCAGCAGUGGGGAAUAUUGCACAAUGGGGGAAACCCUGAUGCAGCCAUGCCGCGUGUGUGAAGAAGGCCUUCGGGUUGUAAAGCACUUUCAGUUGUGAGGAAAAGUUAGUAGUUAAUACCUGCUAGCCGUGACGUUAACAACAGAAGAAGCACCGGCUAACUCCGUGCCAGCAGCCGCGGUAAUACGGAGGGUGCGAGCGUUAAUCGGAAUUACUGGGCGUAAAGCGCACGCAGGCGGUUUGUUAAGCUAGAUGUGAAAGCCCCGGGCUCAACCUGGGAUGGUCAUUUAGAACUGGCAGACUAGAGUCUUGGAGAGGGGAGUGGAAUUCCAGGUGUAGCGGUGAAAUGCGUAGAUAUCUGGAGGAACAUCAGUGGCGAAGGCGACUCCNCUGGCCAAAGACUGACGCUCAUGUGCGAAAGUGUGGGUAGCGAACAGGAUUAGAUACCCUGGUAGUCCACACCGUAAACGCUGUCUACUAGCUGUGUGUG
rnacentral:rRNA from 1 species